GACCCUAGGGAUAAGAGUGCAAUCCUAUUCUAGAGUCCAUAUCAACAAUAGGGUUUACGACCCCGAUGUUGGAUCAGGACAUCCUAAAUGGUGUAGCCGCUAUUAAGGGUUCAUUUGUUCAACGAUUAAAGUCCUUCCUGAUCUGAGUUAAGACCAGAGCAAUCCAGGUCGGUU
rfam:Chlorocebus sabaeus isolate 1994-021 chromosome 9, whole genome shotgun sequence.